UGCGAUAGUUGACAGGUGUAAUGUGUAGGUAGAUUUGUUUGGGAUCACGAGGCUUAAUUAUAAAUCGGAUGUGUAGCAUGUUGCGGUGUUUGCGGGUAGAGCUUUAUUCACAAGCAUAACUUGUGAAAAAUAUGUAUUUUUUCCGCGGCAAUAGUAAAGCAGAGAAAGGUCAUGCCACAUUUGUAGCGGCUGUCGACAUACGCAUGAGAACACACAGGCCUACAGCAGGACAGAUAUAUUGCAUAUGCAGCUUCUUCCAGAAGAGAGACUGAUAAUGACAUUUCGUGAAUGAAGUCAAUUGCAGAUGGUUUUUGUAAUUAUUGAAAGUGUGCUAUUCAACAUGUGCUCUUGUGCUUGUCAUACGUGUUCAGUGCAUUGGACACAAAUCAAAUUUUGGACUUCCUAAAUCACUAAAACACUGUAAUGGUAACAUCGAGGCCUUGGUGAGUUUGUUCAGUCUGACAGGAUAUUAUUUUCUAAUCAGUUUUUAUGCAGAUGUUGAUAUGUAAACAUAAUUUUGUACAGAGACAAAUAAAAAAAGUUAAUUAAA